rnacentral:rRNA from 1 species
UACGUAGGGGGCAAGCGUUAUCCGGAUUUACUGGGUGUAAAGGGAGCGUAGACGGCCAUUCAAGCCAGAUGUGAAAGCCCGGGGCUCAACCCCGGGACUGCAUUUGGAACUGUGUGGCUAGAGUGUCGGAGAGGCAGGCGGAAUUCCUAGUGUAGCGGUGAAAUGCGUAGAUAUUAGGAGGAACACCAGUGGCGAAGGCGGCCUGCUGGACGAUGACUGACGUUGAGGCUCGAAAGCGUGGGGAGCAAACAGG